rnacentral:rRNA from 1 species
AUUGAACGCUGGCGGCAGGCCUAACACAUGCAAGUCGAGCGGAUGAAGGGAGCUUGCUCCUGGAUUCAGCGGCGGACGGGUGAGUAAUGCCUAGGAAUCUGCCUGGUAGUGGGGGAUAACGUCCGGAAACGGGCGCUAAUACCGCAUACGUCCUGAGGGAGAAAGAGGGGGAUCUUCGGACCUCACGCUAUCAGAUGAGCCUAGGUCGGAUUAGCUAGUUGGUGGGGUAAAGGCCUACCAAGGCGACGAUCCGUAACUGGUCUGAGAGGAUGAUCAGUCACACUGGAACUGAGACACGGUCCAGACUCCUACGGGAGGCAGCAGUGGGGAAUAUUGGGCAAUGGGCGGAAACCUGAUCCAGCCAUGCCGCGUGUGUGAAGAAGGUCUUCGGAUUGUAAAGCACUUUUAGUUGGGAGGAAGGGCAUUAAGUUAAUACCUUGCUGUUUUGACGUUACCAACAGAAUAAGCACCGGCUAACUUCGUG